rnacentral:rRNA from 1 species
CAAUAGCGUAUAUUAAAGUUGUUGCGGUUAAAAAGCUCGUAGUUGGAUUUCUGUUGAGAACGUCCGGUCCGCACUAUGUGCGUGUAUCUGGUUCGGUCUUGGCAUCCUCUUGAGGAACGUAUCUGCGCUUGAUUGCGUGGAGCGGUAUUCAAGACUUUUACUUUGAGGAAAUUAGAGUGUUCACGGCAGGCAAGCGCCUUGAAUACGUUAGCAUGGAAUAAUAAUAUAGGAUCUUGGUUCUAUUUUGUUGGUUUCUAGGGCUAAGGUAAUGAUUAAUAGGGAUAAUUGGGGGCAUUUGUAUUAACGCGUCAGAGGUGGAAUUCUUGGAUUGCGUUACGACAAACUACUGCGAAAGCAUUUGCCAAGGAUGUCUUCAUUGA